GUAGCAAGGAGGAAAAUACCGGCCUCGUAAAACCCCUGAUGAGAGAUGACACAUCAAAAUGCCACUGAUAGGAACUCAUCAUCUGGCCAUACCUAGACACAAGGGGGCUGGGAAUUAUAAUCCCUAGCUGGGCAGUGGCAUUUCAGCAACGACUUUACAGUGUAGCGUCUAUAGUGUAGAUUCUAUGCUACGAACAGGAAAAGAGAGAUUCUGCCAGAUGGCUGGCUUUUUACAGUAUUAUUUAAAUAGUAACGCCCAUAUAAUAUGAUAAAUGUGUGAUUGAAUCUAUGAUGCCAUAUUACUGUUUGAUUUCUUUUCCUAGCUGGUUAAGUUGAAGGUUUAUUUAUGGUAUGCUUAUAAUGUGACUAGACAUGAUUAGACGGUAUUAGAAGUAUUACAGAUAGAGUAAUGAAUAAAAGAGACAAAAAUCACAUCCCUCAUACAAUUUAUAUCUUAGUGAAGGUACGUCAGAACCUAAGUCACAUUUAUACUAAAUUCUGCCGCUUAAUCGAAAGAGGCCACAAGGAAAAAUAAAAUGAGGGGAAAGGGGGAUAGAAAAUGUGGAAAGUGAUUUCAAUAGGUGGUCAAGUCAGACGACUGAAAAGGGGCUCUUUGAAUCGGUCUGAGAGUGACGAGGGAGAGAAUCACCCGCUAACCCUGCUUCAGAUACCUAACCAUGGGAAAGACUAAAGCUGUUCAGAGACAAAUAAGGAAGAUGGGGAAGGAGAGAAGGAAGAGCAAGAGAGAGCAAGAAUGACAGAAGCAGCACAAGAGGGCAAGAGCUGCCACUUUUUGAAUUCCUGCUUUUGGUCACGUCUGAAGCAUGUGUCACCUUGGACUUUGCGGUGACAUGAGUCAGUGUAUCCUUUUUUUUCUGCUUAACUAGUUUAAGUUCUGGCAAUACCAAUAAAAACAAAGCUGGUCACUACAAUGUCAGGGUGGUUUUGGAUGAUGUGCCGGGGAAAAUAUAUUUUCUUACCUAAUUGGGAAGGUACCUCUGUGCUGAGGAUCUGCACGCAUGACAGUACAUGGUAGAUUUUUAAAUUUAUAAAAUAGUACUACUAAGCUAAGACCUUAAGAAACAAAAUAUAACCCAACUCCCGG
rnacentral:lncRNA from 9 species